GGGGAUGUAUCUCAGUGGUAGAGUUCUUGCCUUGCAAACAGAAGGCUCUGGGUUCGAUUCCAGCACCA
rnacentral:tRNA from 1 species